UUGUUAUUGUUUCAUCUAAAUCACGUUUGUUUACAGACUAAACAGAAAUGGAUCGGAUACACCGACGUCGAUUCGGCGCCCGUCCAUUUCUACGUAAAAAGAAAUUCUUCUUUUCAAACACGAUGAACUCCGAUUUCCGGCCAUACCAACCUCUUGCUGGUUGCGGGACUCAGAAACGGACUCGAUUGUGCACGAACCCAACGCCGCUCAACGCCGGCCGCACCUAUCCAGGUUUCAACUUCCAGAAAGGCGAUUGCACCUCCAUCUGUCCAGUAGUGGACGGUCGAUGGAACGCCUGGUCCUGUUGGUCCAAAUGCGGGCCGAUUUUGUAAACACCACCGUCGCCGUUCUUGCACCAGCAGCCCUUCACCUUCCUACGGAGGCAAAUAUUGGGUCGGCCGUGACUUGCAGCGGGAGGAGUUCGUGACGACGAUCUCGACAGCUUAGAUGAGGAUUCAACAACCACAAUCAAUUUGCUGCCUUCCUUUUUCGUCUCGGCGGACACGCCAUUUUUCUGCUAGGACGUCCGGUGGCGGCAUCCGGGAAUUGAGCGUUCGAUUCGAUUGCGAUUCCGCCGGAUUCAGCGUCGACUGGGAGGGUAAACGGACUCCAUUGAUCAACAGGGCUCUUAUUCUCGACAACAUUACUCCUCCCGAUUCGAUUCCUGUUCAAAAAAUAGGAGAAGAAUCAAAUAUCGUCCAAGAUGAAGGUAAAAGUUUCGCCACUCCUGCAAAUGAGAAGAAAUGCCAAGAAUAGAGAAUAGUUCGAUGUCUAAUUCAUGGCAUUACCUUCGUUCACCACCGCCAAAUCGACCGGAAUCGGAGUUCAUCGUGUUUGAAAAGAAGAAUUUCUUUUUACGUAGAAAUGGACGGGUGCCGAAUCGACGUCAGUGUAUCCGAUCCAUUUCUGUUUACUCUGUAACCAAACGUGAUUUAGAUGAAACAAUGACAAUUGAAAGAAAAACACGUCACCGUACCAUUUUGAUUGGGAUAGAAUUCACAGUAAACGGUUUCCAUCUUCUUCGAUCCCUUGACGGAAUAGAAUCCGCUCAGUUUGUGUCCGAUUCUCUGCAGAUCUUCACACGAGGUUCGAGUGACAGUCAAUUCUGUGUGUUCCAUCAUUUUGAUUGGCGCCGACAGUUCAGCGGUCGUGUAACGGACACGAACGUUGCGAUCCUGAAACGAUUGGGGAAUCACGAAAUUUGGCCAAAUUGAUUGGGCUGAGUUGCAUCGGUUUGGGCACGAAUUUCUCUCCGUCCCAUUGGACGUGGUCUCUACUUUCUUGUAAUAUUUUCUCCGCGUCUUCCUUAGAAAUGUUGACCUUGUUGGAACCAUCGGGAUCGUUUGCCAUUUUCUCUGAAAUGAUUGAACUGAUUCUAUCCACGUCAUCCCAACUGUUUGAGUCGUAAUUGUUGUUGGAUGUUUUCUAUAUUCUCUGAUUUUCUGUCAUGUUCUUCUGAAUUAUUUCUUGACUUGUCAGUUUUCUCGUUUGUCAUCUUUUAUUUUGUUUUUUAUUCGCAUCUUUCGUUUGAUUUGAUUGUUUAAUAGUUUCUCCUUCUCGUUUUAUAUCCGCGUCCUGAGUACCCGAAAGCAUUUCCUUUUUUAACCGACCAUUUCUCCACAUCAGAAGUUUGCUAAAAAUUUGCACCGCCUGAAAAUAAACAGUAGGCCUAUAAAAAAAAUGAGUGAUUUGAAAAUCAAGUUGAACUUAUAAAUUUA
rnacentral:lncRNA from 1 species